GUCAGUUUUGUGUCUGAACUGAAUGUGACCCACAAGCACAAAAGAGGUCCUGACAGAAUACGUGACCACGUAGACACGCACUGUAUUUACGGAAGGAAAUCUGUUUUUCCUACCGCUCCUUCUGAUGGGACGCAGAAUUAUGACAUUUGUCACAUUUCAAUGACGUAAAGGUCGGAUAAAUGCGACCUGGCCGUUCAGACUGAAGUCGCAUUGCAAAAUAUCAGAUCCAUAUCGGAUUUAGGACCACAUAUGAAAGUGGUCUGGGUCGGAUUAGUGCUGUUCAAACUGUCUUUAACAGAUCACAUACAGGUCACGUAUGGACAAAAAAGUCGGAUUUGGGCCACAUUCACCUGCAGUUUGAACGUAGCCGUAGUGAAUAAAACAGUAAAAGCCCCGUUUAGUGGAUUAAUUAUUUCAACACUAAAGACACCUGAUAAUGAACAGGUUCCAAAUAAAGAGCCUGAAUGAAGACGGAGGUAAAGUCCGUGUCGAGAGUGUUUGUGUUCAUGCUGUCAGUCUGAGCUCCGUAUGGAUGAACGUAUGAACGAUCCAAGCCGGGUGUCGCCGUGGUAACAAAGGCACCUGGAGGACCUGGAAGACGACAGCGGGUGUGACUUUGUAGUUGAUGUGCGUUCAGACGGCGGCAGCGCUGACUGUCAGCCACACCGCUCUGUGUCGUUCUGUUCCAAAAACAACCUUCCUGUCUGACACUCAGAUAUUUUCAGCCUGUUUCUUUUCCUUGUUCUUUCGUUUUUUUUGUUUUUUUUUCUGCUGAUCUGCUCCAGCGUGUUGUCGUGGUCAGCUUUUAACACACUUUAAACCAAUCUUUGCACUUCUGUUUGUCCAUGUAGACGUUUGUCCUUCAGCCUUUUGUUGUGCAUUAGUCUGUAUGUCUGUCUGUCCUCCAUCAUAUCUCAUCUUUGUGUCUUUUUGUUCUAAAAUUAAAAAAAACUCAAUCACC